rnacentral:rRNA from 1 species
GAUACUCAAUCAAAUCAGGUAAGAAUACCCGCUGAACUUAAGCAUAUCAAUAAGCGGAGGA